rnacentral:rRNA from 1 species
CGAGAAAGCCCGCAAGGGUGAGUACAGCGGCGCACGGGUGCGUAACACGUGGGUAAUCUACCCUGAAGCUCGGAAUAACUCCCCGAAAGGGGUGCUAAUGCCGGAUAAGCCCACGGAAGCCUUGGCUUCUGAGGGAAAAGGUGGCCUCUGCAUGCAAGCUAUCACUUCAGGAUGAGCCCGCGGCCCAUCAGCUAGUUGGCGGGGUAAUGGCCCACCAAGGCUACGACGGGUAGCUGGUCUGAGAGGACGAUCAGCCACACUGGAACUGAGACACGGUCCAGACUCCUACGGGAGGCAGCAGUGGGGAAUCUUGCGCAAUGGGCGAAAGCCUGACGCAGCAACGCCGCGUGUGUGAUGAAGGUCUUCGGAUCGUAAAGCACUGUCGCGAGGGACG